rnacentral:lncRNA from 13 species
AUGGGACUCUGGGGGAGGGGCUUCACACAUACACACAAACACGCACGUGCACGCACACAUCACACAACCACACACCACACAACCACACGUGCACACACCACACAACCACACACAUUUGCACACAUUACACACAGCCACACACGUGCACACGCACAGCACAACCACACACACCACACAACCACACACACACCACACAACCACACAUGUGCACACACACCACACACAACCACACCUGUGCACACACUGCAACCACACACAACCACGCACAUGUGCACACACAUGUGCACGCACACACCACACACAUGUGGACACACCACACACCAAUGUGCACGUGCACACCACAACCACACACGUGCACACACAACUACACAUGGACACACCACAUACACAUCACACACGUGCACACACACCACACACAACCACACAGGUGCACACACAACUACGCAUGGACACACCACAUACACAUCACACACAGGUGCACACACACCACAUACAUACCACACACAACCACACACGUGCACACGCAACCACACACGUGCACACACCACAUAUGCAUCACACACCACACACAUGCACACACACCACAUACACACACACACACACACACACACACACGCCCCGUGUGGGUCCUCCAAGCAACACACUCCACUGAGUCAUGCCAGAGAAAUGCAAAGAAUGGAAAGAAUUCUGCACGUUUACUCUCUGGCUGGGCUCCUCCACCUCCAAGAAAUUCCCCAUCCAGUGCCCUGGCCCCUUCUGGGGCCCAGAGUGCCCUCCUGUCCCCGCCGCCCUGCCCUGAUCAGGUGUGGGAGUGGUUGGGGUCCCAGAAGAACCCAUUUCUCAGGGCUGUGGGUGCCAGGUCCAGCUUGGGCCCAGGAGGACCAGCUCAGCCCACAGCCCACCCUUCUGUGUCAGCUCUGCCAGUCCAGAGAUCAGAGGUUCCUCAAUGGACGCUGUGGCCGGGAACCUCGUCUCUGCCACGCUCUCAUCUGGGAGAGGAGUGCUGACUCCUGGUUUCUGGACACACCACACAAUUUUGGGGUUUCCUUCAGGCCCUGGAAUCCCCGCCAGCAGGACACAGCGAGACUCACCUGCAGAGGGCCCCAGCCCUGGGCCUGUGCCGCCCCCAGCAUACUGGACCCACCUGGAAGGUUUCUGACUGCCCGCCCCCCUCUCCAGCCAAGGACUCUCCCCAGGGCCCCUCCCCUGGGAAACCUGUGCCCCCACCAGCCAAGGGGGCUCUGCUCCACCGGCGCUGAGCCGCCCACUAAAUGCAGAGUCCAGUGA